CAUACAAAAUUGACUUUUGUGAGACAAAAUUGACUUUUGUGAGACAAAACUCAAUUUUGUGAGUCUCACAAAAGUCAAUUUUGUAUGCAAAUUAGU
rnacentral:sRNA from 1 species